rnacentral:rRNA from 1 species
CGGCGCGGGAAUCGAUUUUCCGGUUGAUCCUGCCGGAGGUCCUGCUAUCGGGGUUCGAUUAAGCCAUGCGAGUUGAGAGGGUUUAGACCCUCGGCGGACUGCUCAGUAACACGUGGAUAACCUGCCCUAAGGUGGAGGAUAACCCCGGGAAACUGGGGAUAAUACUCCAUAGACCAGAGUGACUGGAAUGUUUUCUGGUCGAAAGUUCCGGCGCCUUAGGAUGGAUCUGCGGCCGAUUAGGUAGUUGUUGGGGUAACGGCCCAACAAGCCAGUCAUCGGUACGGGUUGUGGGAGCAAGAGCCCGGAGAUGGAAUCUGAGACACGAUUCCAGGCCCUACGGGGCGCAGCAGGCGCGAAAACUUUACAAUGCAGGAAACUGUGAUAAGGGAACCCCGAGUGCUCGUACACGCGAGCUGUCCAGGUGUGUAAAAAGCAUCUGAAGAAAGGGCCGGGCAAGACCGGUGCCAGCCGCCGCGGUAAUACCGGCGGCUCGAGUGGUGGCCACUAUUAUUGGGCUUAAAGCGUUCGUAGCUGGACUCUUAAGUCUCCUGGGAAAUCCGCCGGCUCAACCGGCGGGCGUCCAGGAGAUACUGGGAGUCUUGGAACCAGGAAGAGUAGA